ensembl:lncRNA
GGCAGCAGGCCUAGUGGUUAGAGUGGAGGGGCGGCAGGGUAGCCUAGUGGUUAGAGUGGAGGGGCGGCAGCAGGCCUAGUGGUUAGAGUGGAGUGGCAGCAGGUCUAGUGGUUAGAGUGGAGGGGCGACUAGUAACCAGCAGGUCUAGUGGUUAGAGUGGAGGGGCAACUAGUAACCAGCAGGUCUAGUGGUUAGAGUGGAGGGGCAGCAGGUCUAGUGGUUAGAGUGGAGGGGCAGCAGGGUAGCCUAGUGGUUAGAGUGGAGGGGCGGCAGGGUAGCCUAGUGGUUAGAGUGGAGGGGCGGCAGGUAGCCUAGUGGUUAGAGUGGAGGGGCGGCAGGUCUAGUGGUUAGAGUGGAGGGGCAGCAGGUCUAGUGGUUAGAGUGGAGGGGCAGCAGGUCUAGUGGUUAGAGUGGAGGGGCAGCUGGUCUAGUGGUUAGAGUGGAGGGGCGACUAGUAACCAGCAGGUCUAGUGGUUAGAGUGGAGGGGCAGCAGGUCUAGUGGUUAGAGUGGAGAGGCAGCAGGUCUAGUGGUUAGAGUGGAGGGGCGACUAGUAACCAGCGGGUCUAGUGGUUAGAGUGGAGGGGCAGCUGGUCUAGUGGUUAGAGUGGAGGGGCAGCAG